rnacentral:rRNA from 1 species
UACCAGCACCCCGAGUGGUCGGGACGUUUUAUUGGGCCUAAAGCAUCCGUAGCCGGUUCUACAAGUCUUCCGUUAAAUCCAACUGCUUAACAGGUGGGCUGCGGAAGAUACUAUAGAGCUAGGAGGCGGGAGAGGCAAGCGGUACUCGAUGGGUAGGGGUAAAAUCCGUUGAUCCAUUGAAGACCACCAGUGGCGAAGGCGGCUUGCCAGAACGCGCUCGACGGGUGAGGGAUGAAGGCUGGGGGGAGCAAACCGGG